CUGGAAAUAACACUUUUGGGGCUUGGGUGAAUCUGCACUCAUUCUGGGGCUCCUCGUCUGAGUGAUAAACUGGAUUCGGUCUAAAAGUAAACAAGGGAGCAAAGCACUUAAAUUGUCAACUUGCGCAUGUCAACAAAUUGUUAAACUGUUCAAUUGCACAUCAACAACAAAUGGUUGAAACUAGUGAUGCACCGAAAUGAAAAUUCUGGGCAGAAACCGAAAAUUUAGGAUGCACUUGGCCGAAAACCGAAACUGAAGCCGAAAAUUGCUUCUUUUAAAAACUCAUACUAUACACACACACACAUAUACAUAUAACAUUUGAAUAUAAAAAUUGAAACUACUGCGGAAACAAAGACACCUACAUCUUGGAUGCCCUUGAGGUAACCUAAAACAUACCAAAAUGUAAUUUCAAAGUGAACUAUCCCUUUAAUCUUUGAUUGGCAGACGCGUGAUAACAGCUCGACCGUGAGUGAAACCUAAGCUUGCACACGGAUGGGAGGGGGCAUGGUGGCUCUCCUCCUCAGACUGGAUGUCAGUGAUGUCACAAUCUUUAUUGAGAUAUCUGUCCAGGCUCCUCGCUGCCUCAUCAUGACUAUCUACAAACAUGGAAAAACAGUCAAGUACAGUCAGAGUCAGGAGAAAUUAUGUCAGACAGGGGUAUGUUCAGAUUCUUAUACCACAAAUCUUAUACCAGAACACCCACCACGAGUUAUGAGGAGACGGAUAGGCUGGUAUGUGUGCCAUCCCUGACCAGGCUGCUCUCUAUUCAGGAUGGCUGCAUUCAGCCUAAUAGAGUCCUUAGGAGGGUAUGGGGGCCAGAAGACUUUAUCUCCUUCAACCCAUGAGUUUGGCACAAUUUCAGUUGCCCCACUUCUGAACUGAACAACGCACCAUGUGGUCAUUUUUUUUAUUGCAGGGGAUUACAAAGACUAUAGAAAAAAGCAAGGGAAAAAAAAAACUUAUUUAUAAACUGAUGAACUGACUGCAUAAACUGAUUAUAUGAACUGAUUUGGAAAUUUUGGAAAAAAUUUAAUUGGUAUGAAUGAUGGGAAUGGCGAUGAACUUGGUUUUGUCUGGAUAAAUUGUGUACUUUUUGCCGAUGUGCUGAAGCCUAGUCACACCGACAUUCUUGCACAUCCCCCAAACUGUGUAUACCCUAGUGUUUUCAGAUGGAAAGGGAUACUGGCCAUAGGACUCUUUUUUGGUAAACUUGCGAAAAAUUAUGUAAGUCUCCUGACCUACCCUGACAAUGUUUUCAACAACGGCAAUGUCAUCUACAAUUUGAAAACAGUUAUCCCCAGACCUAGAUGAUAUUGUGUACUUUUCUGUAACAAGCUUACAGAACUGGUCCCCACAGCUUAAUGAAGAGAUCAAUGGACCACCAUAAUGAGGAUGCAUGAAUUUUUGUCCUUUCUUCAAUGUGUCCAAUGUCGGUGCAGGUGAUUCUGAGAGCCUUUUUACUACUUGCUGUAAAGGCAAGUGAGGCUUGCGCAAUAGGUGCUUUAGUUGCGCUAAAUAACUCUCAUAAGGAAAUGCAGAUAUGUUGUCCAAGGGACCAAACAGACGGUAUUCUGAUGCCAAGUGUGUCAGCUGAUGGACAUUGUAGGUGAUUUCACCUUUCCCAUAUAGCUGACCAAAGUGAGUUACGAAGGAAGUCAACAAUCCCUGAGCGCAAUCAAUCAUUUCCUCUGAUGUUCCAGGCGACAACAGCAGAUGCAUGGCCACAGAAAGUAACAUAAAGUUUUCAUAAAU
ensembl:lncRNA